rnacentral:misc_RNA from 1 species
AACGCACAUUGCGCCCGCCAGUAUUCUGGCGGGCAUGCCUGUCCGAGCGUCAUUUCAACCCUCAGGCCCUGGUUGCCUGGUGUUGGGGCGCCGCGCACCCCUAGCGGGCGCGGGCCCCGAAAGUCAGUGGCGGGCUCGCCAGGACUCCGAGCGCAGUAAUCUUUUCUCGCUCAGGGCGUCCAGGUGUGGUUUCCCAGCCGUUAAACACCCCAAUUACCAAAGGUUGACCUCGGAUCAGGUAGGAAUACCCGCUGAACUUAA